CCUACGGGUGGCAGCAGUGGGGAAUCUUCCGCAAUGGGCGAAAGCCUGACGGAGCAACGCCGCGUGAUCGAAUGAAGGCCUUCGGGUUGUAAAGAUCUGUUGACAGGGACGAAUAAGCAAUGCAAAUAGCUUUUUGUAUGACGGUACCUGCACAGGAAGCACCGGCUAACUCCGAGCCAGCAGCCUAGGUAAUACGGAGGGUGCGAGAGUUAAUCGGAUUUACUCGGCGGAAAGCGCUCCUAGGUGGUUUGUCAAGUCAAGGGUGAAUGCCCGGCGCCAAACGUGGUAACUGCAUUUGAAACUGGCAGACUGGAGUGUGUGAGAGGAUAGUGGAAUUCCAGGUGUAGGAGUGAAAUCCGUAGAUAUCUGGAGGAACAUCAGUGGCGAAGGCGACUAUCUGGCACAUAACUGACGCUGAGGAGCGAAAGCGUGGGUAGCAAACAGGAUUAGAUACCCGAGUAGUC
rnacentral:rRNA from 1 species